GGAUCUAUGGGGUUUGCUAUGGGGUCUGUGGGGUUCCCUAUGGGGUAUCCUAUGGGGUAAUGGGGUCUAUGGGAUUCCCUAUGGGGUUUCCUGUGGGGUAAUGGGGUCUAUGGGGUUUCCUAUGGGGUCCGUGGGGUUCCCUAUGGGGUUCCCUAUGGGGUUAUGGGAUCUAUGGGGUUUGCUGUGGGGUCUGUGGGAUUCCCUAUGGGUAAUGGGAUCUAUGGGGUUUCCUAUGGGGUCUGCGGGGUUCCUUAUGGGGUUUCCUAUGGGUUAAUGGGGUCUAUGGGGUUUGCUAUGGGGUCUGUGGGGUUCCCUAUGGGGUUUCCUAUGGGGUAAUGGGGGCUAUGGGAUGUGUGGGGUUCCCUAUGGGGUUUCCUGUGGGGUCUGUGGGGUUCCCUAUGGGGUAUCCUAUGGGGUAAUGGGGUCUAUGGGGUUUCCUAUGGGGUCUGUGGGGUUCCCUAUGGGGUUUCCUAUGGGGUAAUGGGGGCUAUGGGAUGUGUGGGGUUCCCUAUGGGCUUUCCUAUGGGGUAAUGGCGGCUAUGGGGUUUCCUAUGGGGUCUGUGGGGUUCCCUAUGGGGUUUCCUAUGGGGUCUGUGGGGUUUCCUAUGGGGUUUCCUAUGGGGUAAUGGCGGCUAUGGGGUUUCCUAUGGGGUCUAUGGGGUUCCCUAUGGGGUCUCCUAUGGGGUAAUGGGGUCUAUGGGCUUUGUUGUGGGGUCUGUGGGAUUCCCUAUGGUCUUUCCUAUGGGGUAAUGGGAUCUAUGGGGUUUCCUAUGGGGUCUGUGGGGUUCCCUAUGGGGUUUCCCAUGAGUUAAUGGGGUCUAUGGGGUUUCCUAUGGGGUCUGUGGGGUUCCCUAUGGGGUUUCCUGUGGGGUAAUGGGAGCUAUGGGGUUUCCUAUGGGGUCUGUGGGGUUCCCUAUGGGGUUUCCUGUGGGGUAAUGGGAGCUAUGGGGUUUCCUAUGGGGUCUGUGGAGUUCCCUAUGGGGUUUGCUAUGGGGUAAUGGAGUCUAUGGGGUUUGCUAUGGGGCCUGUGGGAUUCCCUAUGGGGUUUCCUGUGGGGUAAUGGGAUCUAUGGGGUUUCCUAUGGGGUCUGUGGGGUUCCCUAUGGGGUAAUGGGGGCUAUGGGAUGUGUGGGGUUCCCUAUGGAGUUUCCUAUGGGGUUAUGGGAUCUAUGGGGUUUCCUAUGGGGUCUGUGGGGUUCCCUACAGGGUUUGCUAUGGGGUCUGUGGGGUUUCCUAUGGGGUUCCCUAUGGGGUUAUGGGAUCUAUGGGGUUUGCUGUGGGGUCUGUGAGAUUCCCUAUGGGGUUUCCUGUGGGGUAAUGGGGUCUAUGGGGUUUCCAAUGGGGUCUGUGGGGUUCCCUAUGGGGUUCCCUAUGGGGUUAUGGGAUCUAUGGGGUUUGCUGUGGGGUCUGUGGGAUUCCCUAUGGGGUUUCCUGUGGGGUAUUGGGAUCUAUGGGGUUUGCUAUGGGGUCUGUGGGGUUCCCUAUGGGGUAUCCUAUGGGGUAAUGGGGUCUAUGGGGUUUGCUAUGGGGUCUGUGGGGUUCCCUAUGGGGUUUCCUAUGGGGUAAUGGGGGCUAUGGGAUGUGUGGGGUUCCCUAUGGGGUUUCCUGUGGGGUCUGUGGGGUUCCCUAUGGGGUAUCCUAUGGGGUAAUGGCAGCUAUGGGGUUUCCUAUGGGGUCUGUGGGGUUCCCUAUGGGGUUUCCUAUGGGGUAAUGGGAUCUAUGGGCUUUGCUGUGGGGUUCCCUAUGGGGUUUCGUAUGGGGUAAUGGCAGCUAUGGAGUUUCCUAUGGGGUCUGUGGGGUUUCUUAUGGGGUUUCCUGUGGGGUAAUGGGAUCUAUGGGGUUUGCUGUGGGGUUCCCUAUGGGGUUUUGUAUGGGGUAAUGGCGGCUAUGGGGUUUCCUAUGGGGUCUGUGGGGUUCCCUACAGGGUUUCUUAUGGGGUAAUGGGGGCUGUGGGGUUUCCUAUGGGGUCUGUGGGGUUCCCUAUGGGGUGUCCUAUGGGUUAAUGGGAUCUAUGGGGUUUCCUUUGGGGUCUGUGGGGUUCCCUAUAGGGUUUCUUAUGGGGUUUACAAUGAAUCCUAUGGGGUUUUUCAAUGGAUCUAUGGGGUUUCCGCGGGGGUCUGCGGCGCACCCAAUGGGGACCCCCAAAAAUCCCAUUAUUACGUUCCCCAAAUCCCACUUUUCCCCCCAAAUACCCCCAUAGGAUCCCCAAAACCCACUUUUUCCACCCCAAACCCCAUUCUAUUUCCCUAUUGGGCGCUUUCCCACCCCCAAAACCCCAUAUUCCCACCCUAAGACCCCCAUAUCCCCCCCAAACCCCCAUUUCCCACCCUAAGACCCCCAUAUUUCCACCCUAAGACCCCCAUAUCCCCCCCCACACCCCCAUUUCCCCCCUCACACCCCCAUAUCCCACCUUACGACCCCCAUUUCCCCCCCCACACCCCCAUAUUACCACCCUAAGACCCCCAUAUCCCCCCCCAAAACCCCCAUAUCCCCCCCACACCCCCAUUUCCCACCCCCCAAACCCC
ensembl:lncRNA